ensembl:lncRNA
ACUAGGACACAUUAAAACGAUAAUAAAAUAGGAAGUUUGACGUUGUGAAGCAGCGUGGGAUCAUGGGAGUUGUUGUCUUCACCACCAUUGGCGUCAUUGCAGUCAGCUUCUCCCGGUUAGGAUUCCUUCAGUGUUCAUGGUUCAGGAGGUUUCUACCGGGAGCCCAGUCUGUUUGUGUUGGAGAGGAGGAGACCUCUGUGGAUCAUUGGGCUCCCGGUAGAAACCUCCUGAACCAUGAACACUGAAGGAAUCCUAACCGGGAGAAGCUGACUGCAAUGACGCCAAUGGUGGUGAAGACAACAACUCCCAUGAUCCCACGCUGCUUCACCACCUUAUCAAACGUCCUCUGUUGUUAGAGACCUUCUAGUGGGAGAACUUACAUAUUGUAUGUUUAAUAAGUGUUGGGUUGAUAGCUAUGACGUCUUAGAAGAUGAUAAAAUAUCCUUCAGCCAACAAAGAGAAAAGUGUUGGGUUUUGGCUUGAAGAGCGGCGGAGCAAGAUCAGCCGGAUUGGACCAGCUCCACCACAGCGGGUCCUGUCACCUCAAGAGGAGAGGAAGAGAUCCGGAUAGGAGCCACGCUUGGAGUUAAGGCUGCUCCUGGAUAAUGUCAGUCUUUACAGAGACCUGCUCCAUCAACACUCAACGGACGAGAAACGAGAGGAGGCAAACUUUAUGUUUACAUCGAUGAUUCUUUGUAACACCUUGUUACUGGGUGUAUACGUGUAUGUAUAUAUGUAAAUAAAUAACUGCAUAUAUCGUUUAUAUGUUAAUUCAAUAAAUACUGACUUAUCCUUUUCUCUGUGGGUUAGCAUGACUGCAAACUUUAAUUUCUUGAUAAUCCUUAUAAAAAUCGAUAUUUACUGAUUUGCAUCCAGCGAACUGCAUUAAACAAGUUCCUCACACGUUCAGACGAGAUAUUAUAUUAUUAUAUUAUAUAUUUUAAGAUAUUAAAAUCAUAAAAACUUGUUCAGUUAGUGUCUCUAGUUUCUUAAUGUGCAAUUAGACGUCAAACCUCUUUGAUGACUUCAGGAUGAACUCAUUCAUAAAACAAAGUAAAUAUCGGAUCCUGAGCAGCGUCAGACGAUCUGUUUUUGUCCUGUUUCGUGCACCAGCUGUUCUGUCUAAAGCACGAAGACAUGAGGCCCGACGUGAGCCCAGAGCAGGGACGCAUUUAUAAGUCGGGUCAUGUGAUGAGAGACAGGAAUUCGAAAUGAGAGGCGGCGUUCCUGAGCGGUGUUAGGGAGCCUUCGUUUUCUAUAUUUCUGUCUGCGGAGAGAAGCUGCUGAGAGCCACAGAUGUUUUAUACAAGGUCGAACCCGCUGAAGGUUUAAUCAUCAUUCGGUUUCUUUAUGUUAGUGACAUAAACUUCAUGUCUGAGAGGGUUGUGUUGUUGUAAUCAGCGGGACCAGCCCACAACUGCUGCCACCCCAAGAGGAGAGGAAGAGAGCCGAAUAGGAGGCGCACUGGCCCAGUGUGCAGCUAGCACUAUGAGCUAGUGUCAGCGUCUAACUUUCCGAACACAAUCUGGUGCCAGUCUGACAGAGGAAUCCAGUACCGAGGUGGUUUUCUUGCCGGGUUUGGCUCCUGGCAUCCCGGGGCUGAGUCAGUUAGGUUAGCUGCACGGCUGAUCGAGCUAACGGCAGUUAGCGGUUGGCUACUUAUCAAUCUUUCCAUCAGGAAACUCUGUAAAUGACCUCGGUACUGUGACGUUAUGGAGGCUGUCGUUAAUUAGCAGUUAGCUACUUUAGGUAAGUCUAUCUGUCCAUCAGGAAACUCUGUCAAUCACAGAGAGUUGAAGCUGAGCAGCUGGAGAACGUCAGAGGGAAAACCAGGAAAUAUUUCCUCCAUAAAAUCUGAUCCAGCUUCACCCAAAUCUUUUUAUUGUUUUUUAUGAAACUCUAAUAAAACAUCAUUAAGAAAUACCUGAAAACACGUUUAUGUUGAGGUCAGAUACUGCAGUAUUAGAGACAUAAAGCACAAGACAGAUAAAAACACUUCAGACUUUAUCGUUAAAGAAAUAUGUUGGUUAUGUCCAUCUGAUCCACAUUUGUAGCCAUUGUUGUGUUGAUUCCCGCUCAAUGCACUUUAAUCUGGUUGCAUUAGGUUGCCAUUUUAAGCCUUGCCUUGUAUUCCUGUAUCGAAACUGAUUCUAACCCAUUUGCCUCGACUGGAAAGCACUUUAGCUCAACUCCUGUUGUUUUUAAAUGUGCUAUUCAGUCCCUUCCAGGAUUUUGCUAGUUUCUUUUGGGAUAGUUGCGUCCUAAAAUGUCUGAUUUCACUACA